UACGUAGGGGGCAAGCGUUGUCCGGAAUCACUGGGCGUAAAGCGCGCGCAGGCGGCUAUCUACGUCCGGGGUGAAAGCCCAGAGCUCAACUCUGGGACUGCCUUGGAUACGGGAUGGCUUGAGGAUCGGAGAGGCAAGGGGAAUUCCACGUGUAGCGGUGAAAUGCGUAGAGAUGUGGAGGAACACCUGUGGCGAAGGCGCCUUGCUGGCCGAUUUCUAACGCUGAGGCGCGAAAGCGUGGGGAGCAAACAGG
rnacentral:rRNA from 1 species